GGUGGUUCAGUGGUAGAGCGCUUGUCUUGCAUGCAUGAGGCCCUGGGUUCAAUUCCUCAGCACCA
rnacentral:tRNA from 1 species